UACGUAGGGGGCAAGCGUUGUCCGGAUUUACUGGGCGUAAAGCGUACGCAGACGGCCACGCAGGUCGGGUGUGAAAGCCCCGGGCUCAACCCGGGAAUUGCAUUCGAAACCAUGUGGCUCGAGUAUGGGAGAGGGAAGUGGAAUUCCUGGUGUAGAGGUGAAAUUCGUAGAUAUCAGGAGGAACACCGGCGGCGAAGGCGGCUUCCUGGCCCAUAACUGACGUUCAGGUACGAAAGCGUGGGGAGCAAACAGG
rnacentral:rRNA from 1 species